UACGUAGGGCGCAAGCGUUAUCCGGAAUUAUUGGGCGUAAAGAGCUCGUAGGCGGUUUGUCGCGUCUGCCGUGAAAGUCCGGGGCUUAACUCCGGAUCUGCGGUGGGUACGGGCAGACUUGAGUGAUGUAGGGGAGACUGGAAUACCUGGUGUAGCGGUGAAAUGCGCAGAUAUCAGGAGGAACACCGAUGGCGAAGGCAGGUCUCUGGGCAUUAACUGACGCUGAGGAGCGAAAGCAUGGGGAGCGAACAGG
rnacentral:rRNA from 1 species